GUCUCAAAGAUUAAGCCAUGCAUGUCUAAGUAUAAGCAACUAUACGGUGAAAUUGCGAAUGGCUCAUUAAAUCAGUUAUCGUUUAUUUGAUAGUACCUUACUACAUGGAUAACCGUGGUAAUUCUAGAGCUAAUACAUGCUAAAAACCUGCACUUCGGAAGGGGUGUAUUUAUUAGAUAAAAAACCAAUGC
rnacentral:rRNA from 1 species